AAGAAGGUGAAGUUGAAAAGUGGCAAAAAAAGACUGUGGUAAGAAAGUGGUUGGGUGAAGUGUGAGUGGAAAGUGAAACGAGGGAUGAGGCAAGGCACGGCUUAUACAUCUCUCCUCACUACCAUCACAAAAAGGCUUCGAAGCGGUUUUUGAGAAAAAAUGGAAUAGAGACGGAUAGAGGGAAAGAAGUAUUGGGGGACGGUGUAUGUAGAUAUGGAGACUGCGGUUGGCAACCGUAGCUUGCCAAUCUUGUCCUCUCACGGUCAAUGGCAAAAAUAAUAAAAAGGGAUAGUUGAUACAGGG
ensembl:ncRNA T16G1.17 ncRNA